CUCGCGUCGCAGCGGCAGUUCCACUCCCUCGCCAUGGGCAAGAUUAAGAUCGGAAUCAAUGGUUUCGGAAGGAUCGGGAGGCUCGUCGCCAGGGUCGCCCUCCAGAGCGACGAUGUCAAGCUCGUCGCCGUCAACGACCCCUUCAUCACCACCGAGUACAUGGUAUACCCUC